rnacentral:rRNA from 1 species
GACGAACGCUGGCGGCGUGCUUAACACAUGCAAGUCGAACGGAAAGGCCCUGCUUUUGUGGUGUGCUCGAGUGGCGAACGGGUGAGUAACACGUGAGUAACCUGCCCUUGACUUUGGGAUAACUUCAGGAAACUGGGGCUAAUACCGGAUAGGAGCUCCUGCUGCAUGGUGGGGGUUGGAAAGUUUCGGCGGUUGGGGAUGGACUCGCGGCUUAUCAGCUUGUUGGUGGGGUAGUGGCUUACCAAGGCUUUGACGGGUAGCCGGCCUGAGAGGGUGACCGGCCACAUUGGGACUGAGAUACGGCGCAGACUCCUACGGGAGGCAGCAGUGGGGAAUAUUGCACAAUGGGCGGAAGCCUGAUGCAGCAACGCCGCGUGCGGGAUGACGGCCUUCGGGUUGUAAACCGCUUUCGCCUGUGACGAAGCGUGAGUGACGGUAAUGGGUAAAGAAGCACCGGCUAACUACGUG